UACGUAGGGUGCGAGCGUUGUCCGGAUUUAUUGGGCGUAAAGAGCUCGUAGGCGGCUUGUCGCGUCGGAUGUGAAAGCCCGGGGCUUAACUCCGGGUCUGCAUUCGAUACGGGCAGGCUAGAGUGUGGUAGGGGAGAUCGGAAUUCCUGGUGUAGCGGUGAAAUGCGCAGAUAUCAGGAGGAACACCGAUGGCGAAGGCAGGUCUCUGGGCCACUACUGACGCUGAGAAGCGAAAGCAUGGGGAGCAAACAGG
rnacentral:rRNA from 1 species